UACGAAGGGGGCUAGCGUUGUUCGGAUUUACUGGGCGUAAAGAGCACGUAGGCGGAUCGUUAAGUCGGGGGUGAAAUCCUGGAGCUCAACUCCAGAACUGCCUUCGAUACUGGCGAUCUCGAGUCCGGAAGAGGUGAGUGGAACUCCUAGUGUAGAGGUGGAAUUCGUAGAUAUUAGGAAGAACACCAGUGGCGAAGGCGACUCACUGGUCCGGUACUGACGCUGAGGUGCGAAAGCGUGGGGAGCAAACAGG
rnacentral:rRNA from 1 species